UCUUGGAGGGUUAGUAGCUACAAAUACUAUUUGGAAUCAUUCCAUAAAGACUGUUUGUCUUCUCACAUGCUUUUCUUUAUUAAUUCACCAAACAUUUACUUAUAUCAGUAUGGAUUUAUGCAUACUUAUUUUAAAGUUGAAAUAUUUUACUUAAUGGAUAUAUCCCCAAAGAAUUCCAGCAUCAUUGUUUCAGUGGUACAGUAAAAGAAUUUUGACUUAACUAUCAGGAAACUGCAAAAGACCUCCCUAUCACUACAAUUAUAUUUCAUCACCACUAUAUUUUCUAAUUGUGAUAUAUUAGUGCUUUUAGACAAUAUAUUUAAUCAUGGCAAAGUUUGGAACAGCAUUAUAAUUUCACAUUAUUUCAUUGCCUACUUGGUACCCCUUGAGAAAGAAAUAAAAAAACAGGUAAGGCAAGAUUAUUGAAGUAGCCAUAAAAAUUACUGCUAACAUAAAGUAAACCUAUUUAUGAACUCCCUGUCAAUGAAGCAAAAGUAUAAGCUGUGUCAGGUAAAAUGUGUGCUUCAUUUGAAAGCAUGUCUACAGCUCAGCCUUCUGGUUAUCUGAUUCUGAAAGCUGUUUUACAACUCUACCUUUUAGGUAACUGAUAGCAUUGCAUACUAUCUUUGUCUAUAGACACAAGGAAAUGAAUUCUGUCUUGGGGGAGGGAAACCUUUUCCUCCUGGGGAAAUACCUGUUUAUCUCCAUUUGAACAUUUAUUUCAACACUCUUGAUCUAUAAAUGUGACAAAGAGGUGGCUGUAGACUUGGGAGAGUUCAUUUCAGUGGAAGGAUGGGGGAACCAAGCCCCAUUAGAUGAGAAAUGAAGACUGAGGUGUAGGGAAGUGCAGAGGGAAGUGAUUUGAGUAUUGAGAAUUCUUCAUAGAAUAUUGACUGUAAAUGGGAGAAUAUAUGUAAAGAGGAUAUCAACUAAAGAUGUAGAAAUGGGUCCAUGGCACUGAAUUAUGUUUUACAAUCAUCAGUGAUGAGUCUCUAUGAUUAAUCUGUUAGUGGGAAGGAGCCAUCUCUUCUUAGAUCUGCCAUCUGAAUUUACCACACCCUCCUUUCCACACUUCACUUUCUUGUUUCUAUUCUGGGGAAGCCUAAAACUUAACCAAAGGGAUGGUGUAGAGUUUGGCCUUAAUGCCUAGUAACUGUUAACUCAGGAAUGACCGAAUGGUUGGAUGCACAAUGUGUCAAACGUGCUGAUAAUUCACAAAUUUUUAUCUCCCAGCGCAGAGCUUUUAUGCAGAUGACUGAACCCGUGGAGUUAGGUGGCUAAGAGGAUGCGGCUUCCCAGGUCUCUACAACUGAUGGCAGCAAGAUGGGAGCACCCAGCUACAGUGUUCAGAAGUAGAUUUAGGCAGACUACCACACCUUACAUGCUAGAGGGAUCCACACUGACCUGAGUAGAGCAGGAUAUUGAUGUACAACAAGAUUCUCUGAUCAGAAAGAGAGGCAGAACUGGCAGCCUGGCUUCAGAGGUGAAGAUAUAGAUUUCAGUAGUGACCCAGUGUGACAUGCGUAAAGGAAUUUCUUAUUGAGCCCCAGGAAGAAGAAACACUACAUAAGGGCAAAUAAUAAAAUCGGUCAGAUAGACAGAAGAUGGGAGUCAUCAAACCUGUAUCCCUCUUGCCAGACCUAUCAACUGACCAUAAGACAUUCAGUGAGUCCUUUCCCUUUGUUGGUCUAAGUCCUAACACAGAAAGACGCUCAAUAUAGAAACAGUGGAUAGGGAACCCUUAAAUCAUCUAAAACUUCAUGUUUACUGACUUUAAACUAGUUGCCCUCCAGAGCAAAGGACUAUAUCUUGUGAUGAUGUGGUUUUCCCAUACAUGGCACACUCCCACUGGCACACCCAGUGUUGUCCACAAUUCUCAGCUGUAUAGCUAUGAAUAACUCCACCCCUUUCUCUCCCACUCAGAAAAUUAUUUCAUAAUUCAAGAGAGUGAGAGAGUUUUUACAGGUACAACACUGAUUCAGCUAUAACAUAAACAAUCCUCAAGCUUCAGUAAAGUAUUACAAGUAACAAGUUACUUAUAAUACACACAAUGAUUGUGACACAUUAGCUUGUCAUGGCACCAUGAAUAAGAGGCUCUCAUGUAGAAUGGCAGCCAUUGCAAGAAUGUCUUGACAACAGCUGUCAUUGGAAGCCAAAAAUACUGUACAUCCAACCAUCUUGGCCUAUUGCUACUAUUAGAAAUAAAAAUAAUAUAUGGCAUUAAUUAAGUGAUUACUCUGUGCCAGGCCCUGUAUUAUGUUACAUGUUUUAUCUUAAUUAAUACUUUCUUUGUAUGUGUCCACCAUUUUAAUCUUUUUUGUAGAAAGGAAACUGUGGCUUAGAGGGUGUAAGUAAUUGCUUAAGAUAUAGUAAGUGACAAAACCAAAUACAA